rnacentral:lncRNA from 12 species
CCCAGAUGUGAAAGACAUUAGCUAACGAGGUCUGUGCUUAUGUCAGAGAGGGAGGGGACUCCAUUACUCCUGAGAGUGACAAUAGCCCUUUCUGCUUCUUCUGAUUGUCCAAAACCCAUGCCAGCUGAUGAGGCUUGCCUAUAGUAAGUGGUUCUAGUGUUCUAAGUGCCUAAAAAUAAAGCAGCUCUAAGAAUCCCAUAGUUCUGAUGAGAUUUUUUUUUUCUUUCUUUUUGCAACUGGUAUUUGGCUGCAAUCACUCCUCAGACAUGCUGUAGCUCCUCCUGUGGCUUCCUCAAGAGUGAACUAUCCUGAGCCCUGGCCUCAUCACUCAGACCUCCAGCCCUGGCAACCAUCAGGACCCAGACAUGGCUAACAGAGACCUACCAGUUCUCCAGGCCCUUUCUUUCUCCCUUUUGCUCUCAUGUGCUUUCAUUUAAAAUAUCUCAGAUUCAUCAGUUCCAUUCACCCAUCUUUUUCCCACAGAUCCCCUGAAUAAAGGAGAAGCAGACACUGUUUGCAUGAGGAAGCCUGUUCUGAUUGUGUCAGUGCUAAACCUCCUCAGUGGAAUUGGUGUGCCUCACGGCUUCAGCAGUGUCAUGGAAAAAGUGAUGACCUUACAUUCAUAAGUCUCCAGGUCCUAGUCCUGCUACCUACUAUGUGUUUGACCUUGGGUAAGUCAUAGCCUCCUUGUGCUUGAUCUUUCUCAUCUGUAAAAUUUUA